AUUGAACGCUGGCGGCAGGCCUAACACAUGCAAGUCGAGCGGAUGAAGGGAGCUUGCUCCUGGAUUCAGCGGCGGACUGGCGAGUAAUGCCUAGGAAUCUGCCUGGUUGUGGGGGAUAACGUCCGGAAACGGGCGCUAAUACCGCAUACGUCCUGAGGGAGAACGUGGGGGAUCUUCGGACCUCCCGCUAUCAGAUGAGCCUAGGUCGGAUUAGCUAGUUGGUGGGGUAAAGGCCUACCAAGGCGACGAUCCGUAACUGGUCUGAGAGGAUGAUCAGUCACACUGGAACUGAGACACGGUCCAGACUCCUACGGGAGGCAGCAGUGGGGAAUAUUGGACAAUGGGCGAAAGCCUGAUCCAGCCAUGCCGCGUGGGUGAAGAAGGUCUUCGGAUUGUAAAGCACUUUAAGUUGGGAGGAAGGGCAGUAAGUUAAUACCUUGCUGUUUUGACGUUACCAACAGAAUAAGCACCGGCUAACUUCGUG
rnacentral:rRNA from 1 species